UACGUAGGCAGCGAGCGUUGUUCGGAGUUACUGGGCGUAAAGGGUGUGUAGGCGGUUUUCUAAGUUUGGUGUGAAAUCUCCCGGCUCAACCGGGAGGGUGCGCCGAAAACUGGGAGACUAGAGUGCGGGAUGGGAGAGUAGAAUUCCUGGUGUAGCGGUGAAAUGCGUAGAUAUCAGGAGGAAUACCGGUGGUGUAGACGGCUCUCUGGACCGCCACUGACGCUGAGACACGAAAGCCAGGGGAGCAAACGGG
rnacentral:rRNA from 1 species